UCGUGUUGCUGAUAGUGCAGCACUAAGUGGGUGGUAAACUCCAUCUAAAACUAAAUAUAACCAUGAGACCGAUAGUAAACAAGUACCGUGAGGGAAAGUUGAAAAGAACUCUGAAUAGAGAGUUAAAUAGUACGUGAAACUGCUUAGAGGUUAAGCCCGAUGAACCUGAAUAUCCAUUAUAGAAAAUUCAUCAUUAUGAUUUUAAUAUUAACAAUAUUAUAAUAAUGGUGUGCAUUUUUUCUAUAGAGGACAUUGUAAUCUAUUAACAUAAAAUUAAAUUUAUCAAAAGAUCAAUUAUGCCUAAGUUUAUUCACAUUAUUUUGCUUGCAAUUUAACAUAGAAUAAAUGCUCUUUGAUUUGAUAAAGUGUUGAUAGAUUUAUUAUAUAUAGUGCUUAAAUAUUUAUAUUUUAUAAUAGCAUAUUAAUUUUUAAUUUUUAUGUUUAUUAUAUGCACUUAUAUGAUUAACAAUGCGAAAGAUUCAGGAUACCUUCGGGACCCGUCUUG
rnacentral:rRNA from 1 species